AACACCCACAAACAACGUCACGACGCAACGUGGUUAAACAGUACGUUUAUUAAAGUAACUGGGUGAACGACAUCGGAGCGGACUGCAAAUCGCAACGCUACUUUCUCGAGUGCAGAUACUCUUCGAGACGGAUAAACAACGUGUCCAACUCGCUGAGACCUUUCCGCGUGCCGUUAUCCGAUUUCCUUUCCGCCUCCUGAGACAGCCGACUAAUCACGGACUUAUCUCCGCAACCUAACAGAGGCUGGGAGCCCGACAAAAGUAAAACAGCGUGCUAUGAACACGUUGUUACCUCUGCGCGGACAGCGCCGCCACAGAGACACUUACGCAUUGCCGCAUGUCUUUGUAGAUGGAUUCUAGCGUCGAGCGCAUACUAUGCAAUUCCGUCUUAAGUCCAGGAUAGACGUGGUCGCCUGCGGGGAACACGAUCUCCAGAUACCGCCUCAACAACCAGUCCAUGACGCUGCAUCCCCAACAGCCUUUGACCACCGUACCGUCGAGCCACACGGAGUAGUCGUCCUCACGUUGCUACAAGAGGAAAACUACGUCACUCGACACGCGGAAAAGAAAGACCGUCGCAAUAAACCGUACCUACGUGACCUACCAACGUAGGUUUUACUCGAUGAAAGGUGACGCGGAGAUCUUGCAAUCUGGUCGCGUAAUCCUCCGGACGACACUGCGGCUUUGUAUUCUUUAUCGUCGUCGUCGUCGUCGUCGUCGCCGCCGGCUUCGCCUCCUCGGAAGCGCCUAGAAAAAAGACGAUCAGGACCAGAGAGGAAGAGACCAUCACCGACAGCAUCGCCGCAGCAUGCCGCCCCAAUCCGCCGCCCAACUGCGCGUCCCAGAUACCACUCGUAGACUGUCAGCCUCGCGAGGAGACACCGCGGACCGGGGAAACGGAUAAGUUUACGAACAGAAAUCUCAAGAGAAAGACGCUGACCCGGCAAGUACCGUCACGGAGACACGGUGGUUUUUAUUGAAUUUCCAGUGUAUCGAGCCACCGUGAUGCAGGUACGGUGGUUUUAUGUGAAGUGCCGCUAUCUAUAGGCGAUGUGUUCCCUGACGGUGUGUGUUUUUUGGGGAUAGACAACGUGGUUCUUGUACGUGGUUUUUACCCUGCUCAAUAAAGUCACGUUUUCCUUACACGGUGUUGUGUC
rnacentral:sRNA from 1 species